rnacentral:rRNA from 1 species
AGCGAACGCUGGCGGCAGGCUUAACACAUGCAAGUCGAACGGGCAUAGCAAUAUGUCAGUGGCAGACGGGUGAGUAACGCGUGGGAACGUACCUUUUGGUUCGGAACAACACAGGGAAACUUGUGCUAAUACCGGAUAAGCCCUUACGGGGAAAGAUUUAUCGCCGAAAGAUCGGCCCGCGUCUGAUUAGCUAGUUGGUAGGGUAAUGGCCUACCAAGGCGACGAUCAGUAGCUGGUCUGAGAGGAUGAUCAGCCACAUUGGGACUGAGACACGGCCCAAACUCCUACGGGAGGCAGCAGUGGGGAAUAUUGGACAAUGGGCGAAAGCCUGAUCCAGCCAUGCCGCGUGAGUGAUGAAGGCACUAGGGUUGUAAAGCUCUUUUGUGCGGGAAGAUAAUGACGGUACCGCAAGAAUAAGCCCCGGCUAACUUCGUG